rnacentral:tRNA from 1 species
CAAAUUAGAGCUUGGGAGAAAGUAUUUCAUUUACAUUGAAAAGAAAUUAAAAAUUUAAUUAAUUUGA